CUCUCGGCAGGGCCCGCCCUGGCCGCCCCGGGUGCCUCGGUGGCCGUGGCCGGGGCAGUGGCUGAGGUAGCGGCGUCCUCUCUGGCCGCGGGUUCGGCGAGGCUUGGCACAGGCGCUGGGGCGUCGGCGAGGCCCUCGGGAAGUGGCCUAGGCCGGCUUGCGUCUUCACUGUCGUCCUGUCCUGGGGUCCCCGAGCAUAGUGGCUGUGCCUUCGCCUUCUCGGCCGGCUGCGUCGCUUCUUCCCGGUCUGCCGGGGCUGCGGCCACCUCUGCCAGCCCUCCCUGAGACUUGGUGGCCACUAUGUUGCCACCUGGCUCCUCGGCGUCGGUGGCUUCCACGCCGUCACAGCUGUCACCUUCCGAGCUGGGUGCAGCGCGGCUACUUCGAGCUGAAGGCCAUGUCUACACAUCACAGGAGGAGGAAACCUCAUUAGGCUAACAUCCAUCCAAGGAGCAUCAUACUGUCAGACCACCUCGUUGUGCUAUUAACCUUCCGGCACACAACUGCCAAGCUAACUGUCCUGAGGCGGCAAGACUUCACAUGCACUAAGACAAAGUCUCUGUAGCACAGACUACUUUUGAAUUCACUCUGUAGCUGGGGAUGACCUUGAACGCCUCAUCUUCUGGCCUCCACAGCAUCCUGUGUCCUGGUAGAACGUCUUGAAUGUGAUUGAGGUGCCUACAGCACUAUCCAACAACACUGGGUGAUGGCAGGGCCAGCUUCCUAGCACUGAACAGUGACUGGAGAAGGUGUGGGCUCUAGUGGGUAAGUGGUAAAAGUCAGCGAGGGACAUAAAGGGCAGUGACACUGAGUUCCCGAGUAACAACAGCGUUGCCACACACCCUGCCUGAAGAUCUGGGAGAUCAAGGAGAAGGGGAUGGUUCCAGACAGUGUCUUGACAAGGCUCAUGCAAGACUCAAGCACGCUGUUUAAGUGAAGAUGACUUGGAACUCCUGAUCCUCUCGUCUCCCCGUCCUGUUGUGAUUAUGGAGCUCGGUGCAUUAUGCCUGCUGGGCAAGCAUUCUAACUGAGCCACAUCCUAUCCCCAAGUUUUUUCAACUUAAAGAAAACAAAAUACUGAGAAAUGGCCAUUUCUUAUGAGAACUAAUGGCUAGAGGGUCAGGGUGGUAAAGAAGAGAAAGCAACCUCAGAUUCUUGUGACCAAUUCUCC
rnacentral:lncRNA from 1 species